rnacentral:rRNA from 1 species
AGUCGGACGGUAGCACAGAAGAGCUUGCUCUUCGGGUGACGAGUGGCGGACGGGUGAGUAAUGUCUGGGGAUCUGCCCGGCAGAGGGGGAUAACUACUGGAAACGGUAGCUAAUACCGCAUAACCUCGCAAGAGCAAAGAGGGGGACCUUCGGGCCUCUCGCUGCCGGAUGAACCCAGAUGGGAUUAGCUUGUUGGUGGGGUAACGGCUCACCAAGGCGACGAUCCCUAGCUGGUCUGAGAGGAUGACCAGCCACACUGGAACUGAGACACGGUCCAGACUCCUACGGGAGGCAGCAGUGGGGAAUAUUGCACAAUGGGCGCAAGCCUGAUGCAGCCAUGCCGCGUGUAUGAAGAAGGCCUUCGGGUUGUAAAGUACUUUCAGCGGGGAGGAAGGGUCACUGGUUAAUAACCAGCGGCAUUGACGUUACCCGCAGAAGAAGCACCGGCUAACUCCGUGCCAGCAGCCGCGGUAAUACGGAGGGUGCAAGCGUUAAUCGGAAUUACUGGGCGUAAAGCGCACGCAGGCGGUCUGUCAAGUCAGAUGUGAAAUCCCCGGGCUUAACCUGGGGACUGCAUUUGAAACUGGCAGGCUAGAGUCUUGUAGAGGGGGGUAGAAUUCCAGGUGUAGCGGUGAAAUGCGUAGAGAUCUGGAGGAAUACCGAUGGCGAAGGCGGCCCCCUGGACAAAGGCUGACGCUCAGGUGCGAAAGCGUGGGGAGCAAACAGGAUUAGAUACCCU